CCACUCACCAGUGCAGGAAGUGUUCGCUCUUUUCCCACAGGACCAGGCUCUGUCACCACCUGCUCAUCCAGCGGCACACGGGCACUGGCCAUGGCUUCACCGUCUCUGCGUUUUCUACAGUAAUCAUUAUGACAGAUUCGGUUCCAGACAUGGUACAGCAAGUCGUGUGUCGCCCUGUUGCUGCCUACUCUAGAGGGAAUGACGCGACCAAAGAGGACAAGUUACUUGAGCAUCACUAGCUGAAGCAUCAGCUCAAUGACAUUCACUGAAGGAACAAUAAAAAAGAAGAUGGGAAUAAAGGAAGGGAGCAACUAAGAAGGAAGGAAAAGAUCAGGAGAAAGAUGAAGUAAGCGGGGGCCUGUCUGGGGACUGAGGAGUAUGCAGGACUGGGUAAGUAUUGCACAUCUGUUUAAAAUAGAUGUUGAGGUUGUUGGUCAACGGAGCAGCUGUUGAUAAAUGUUGAGAAAACAAAUCUGGCUGCUCUUCUGACCGAUAUAUACUGCAUGUAUGAACUGCACAAAAACAGCAAUGGUGUAAUUCUGUGCGUACCUGCCGCACAGCAAACCCCCACCCCCUUGGAAAACUCCAGGGUUCUGAAAGCAGAAGAAUUGAAGAUAAAGCAGGAACAUAACCCUCUCUCUUCUCUCUUGUUAUUUUUCCAACAGCAAACACCAGCUGAUGUCCCCUGUUCCGUUCCACACUGGUCAGAGCUGUUGUUGAUCCAGAGCAGCGUGGUGUUAGCCCAGCUGUAUCUGUCCAGAGUAGGUGGUGAGCAGGAGCAUGAUGGAGAAGCCUGUCAGCAGACCAGCAUUCUGGAUGGCAAAGCUCAUGGGGGAACUCCUCACACAGGAUGGCCACAGAGGUACUGAUGCCCUGAAAGACGGAGGCUGUGAACGAAGCCCCGAUAGCCAGACCAUCGAUAAAGUUGUGCAGCCCAUCACUUAAUGUGAUCAUCCAGGCCAGCGUACCAAUGUCUGAAUAAUUGGUCCCUUUUAGCCAAUAGCAGCCGGCGCUUCUGCCUGCAGAUCGCCCCCCGCCGUCUGUGCUCUGUGUCUGUGCAGGACUGAGCAUGAGUUCACCCUCUCCUGCAUCCACCUUGCUCACAGGCAAACUAUUUGCUUCCCCAUUCUGCUGGAGCUUCUCCUUCUCACCAUCCUCCAGGUCCCUCUCAGGGUAGAAACGUGUACUUACCCCAUGUUUCCGGUUGAGAAGCACUUUCAGGACCUUUUCAGUGAAGAAGAAAAGGUAAAAGCCUCCAAACACCACUGCAGACUUUGAUACAUACAAAUCCACCAUGGGGUCAAAUCCGAAGGCCUACACACAGAGAAAGGAAGACAAGGUUAGCUCCUGUUAUUCAAAGUCAAGUCAAAAUAUUACUCUCUGGUAUAUUUUCGAAAGAUGUGUUUGGAAUGUUGCGUAGGUAUCAUUUAAUGGAUUGGAAAUUACAGCACAUGUUUAGUCUAACUAGAUUCAUGCCCUAACCUUUUGAUUUAUUUCUGUACCAGUAAAAGGAAACCUAAUUUACAUACAAUUUUUUUUUUGAUUGUUUGUCUUUUGAAUACUGUUUUGGAUUUACUUAAAAUACAAUGGCUAAACGUGAUUUAAAAGAAUGUCUGGCAUAUUUUAAUAAAUGUCAACACUUUUAUGAAAAUG